UGGGGAAUAUUGCACAAUGGGCGCAAGCCUGAUGCAGCCAUGCCGCGUGUAUGAAGAAGGCCUUCGGGUUGUAAAGUACUCUCAGUCGGGAGGAAGGUGUCAAGGUUAAUAACCUUGGCAAUUGACGUUACCGACAGAAGAAGCACCGGCUAACUCCGUGCCAGCAGCCGCGGUAAUACGGAGGGUGCAAGCGUUAAUCGGAAUUACUGGGCGUAAAGCGCACGCAGGCGGUUGAUUGAGUCAGAUGUGAAAUCCCCGGGCUUAACCCGGGAAUUGCAUCUGAUACUGGUCAGCUAGAGUCUUGUAGAGGGGGGUAGAAUUCCAUGUGUAGCGGUGAAAUGCGUAGAGAUGUGGAGGAAUACCGGUGGCGAAGGCGGCCCCCUGGACAAAGACUGACGCUCAGGUGCGAAAGCGUGGGGAGCAAACAGG
rnacentral:rRNA from 1 species